CAAGUUUGUUGUUCUUUUGAGGCUGUUUGGCUAGCUGAUUAUGCUCUAGGUGUAACUGGAGUAUCUCCAGUCCUGGAAAAUCCAUUGGUAUAUACCAUUAGUAUGUUGCUAUUUCAGUUUCCGAACGCAAUUUGAAAAGACCCAGUGCAUGCAAAUGGAAGAUGACGACUUCUUAAAGGGGAAGGCAAGGCUGGGACUGAUGGUGCUCACGUUGGAGGUGAUCCAGGGAUGUUGGUGUCUUUCAGUUCGCCGAGUAGAAGAUGUCGAACUGCAUGGUGUUUGGUUUCUUUUGGUUCGCCUCUAGUUGCCAUAGUGUUCUUUCCGCUUAGUUUUAAAUUUUGUGUAACUCUUCAUAUGUUUCCUAUAUUACGCUUUGUACUGUGCUUUUCAUGAAUUCAAUAUGAGACUGCGCCUAUGAAAUGCUA